GCGAGGAUGGCGGAAUUGGUAGACGCGCCAGACUUAGGAUCUGGUGGGGAAACCCGUGCGGGUUCAAGUCCCGCUCCUCGCACCA
rnacentral:tRNA from 1 species